ACUCCUACGGGAGGCAGCAGUGGGGAAUAUUGCACAAUGGGCGCAAGCCUGAUGCAGCCAUGCCGCGUGUGUGAAGAAGGCCUUCGGGUUGUAAAGCACUUUUCAGUCGUGAGGAAGGUAGUGUAGUUAAUAGCUGCAUUAUUUGACGUUAGCGACAGAAGAAGCACCGGCUAACUCCGUGCCAGCAGCCGCGGUAAUACGGAGGGUGCGAGCGUUAAUCGGAAUUACUGGGCGUAAAGCGCAUGCAGGUGGUUUGUUAAGUCAGAUGUGAAAGCCCGGGGCUCAACCUCGGAAUUGCAUUUGAAACUGGCAGACUAGAGUACUGUAGAGGGGGGUAGAAUUUCAGGUGUAGCGGUGAAAUGCGUAGAGAUCUGAAGGAAUAACCGGUGGCGAAAGGCGGCCCCCUGGACAGAUACUGACACUCAGAUGCGAAAAGCGUGGGGGGAGCAAAACAGGAUUAAGAUAACCCUGGUAGGAUAGCG
rnacentral:rRNA from 1 species